UACGUAGGGGGCUAGCGUUAUCCGGAAUGAUUGGGCGUAAAGCGUCCGCAGGUGGCUAUGUAAGUCUGCUGUUAAAGAGCAAGGCUCAACCUUGUAAAGGCAGUGGAAACUACAUGGCUAGAGUGCGUUCGGGGCAGAGGGAAUUCCUGGUGUAGCGGUGAAAUGCGUAGAGAUCAGGAAGAACACCGGUGGCGAAAACGCUCUGCUAGGCCGCAACUGACACUGAGGGACGAAAGCUAGGGGAGCGAAUGGG
rnacentral:rRNA from 1 species